UACGUAGGGACCGAGCGUUGUCCGGAUUCAUUGGGCGUAAAGCGCGUGCAGGCGGCCUUGCAAGUCGGACGUGAAAUCCCACGGCUCAACCGUGGAAGUGCAUUCGAAACUGCGAGGCUGGAGUCCUGGAGAGGAAAGUGGAAUACUCGGUGUAGAGGUGAAAUUCGUAGAUAUCGAGUGGAACACCGGUGGCGAAGGCGGCUUUCUGGACAGGUACUGACGCUGAGACGCGAAAGCGUGGGGAGCAAACAGG
rnacentral:rRNA from 1 species